rnacentral:rRNA from 1 species
GACGAACGCUGGCGGCGUGCUUAACACAUGCAAGUCGAACGGAAAGGCCCUGCUUUUGUGGGGUUCUCGAGUGGCGAACGGGUGAGUAACACGUGAGUAACCUGCCCUUGACUUUGGGGUAACUUCAGGAAACUGGGGCUAAUACCGGAUAGGAGCUCCUGCUGCAUGGUGGGGGGGGGAAAGUUUCGGCGGGUGGGGAUGGACUCGCGGGUUAUGAGCUUGUUGGUGGGGGAGUGGAUUACCAAGGAUGUGACGGGUAGGCCGCCUGGGAGGGUGACCGGGGACAUUGGGACUGCGGUAGGGACCAGACUCCUACGUGAGGCAGCAGUGGGGAAUAUUGCACAAUGGGCGGAAGUCUGAUGCAGAAACGCCGCGUGUGGGAUGCCGGCCUUUGGGUUGUAAACCGCUUCAGCCUGUGACGCAGCGUGAGUGACGGUAAUGGGUAAAGAAGCACCGGCUAACUACGUG